GAUGAACGCUGGCGGCGUGCCUAAUACAUGCAAGUCGAGCGAACGGACGAGAAGCUUGCUUCUCUGAUGUUAGCGGCGGACGGGUGAGUAACACGUGGAUAACCUACCUAUAAGACUGGGAUAACUUCGGGAAACCGGAGCUAAUACCGGAUAAUAUUUUGAACCGCAUGGUUAAAAAGUGAAAGACGGUCUUGCUGUCGCUUAUAGAUGGAUCCGCGCUGCAUUAGCUAGUUGGUAAGGUAACGGCUUACCAAGGCAACGAUGCAUAGCCGACCUGAGAGGGUGAUCGGCCACACUGGAACUGAGACACGGUCCAGACUCCUACGGGAGGCAGCAGUAGGGAAUCUUCCGCAAUGGGCGAAAGCCUGACGGAGCAACGCCGCGUGAGUGAUGAAGGUCUUCGGAUCGUAAAACUCUGUUAUUAGGGAAGAACAUAUGUGUAAGUAACUGUGCACAUCUUGACGGUACCUAAUCAGAAAGCCACGGCUAACUACGUG
rnacentral:rRNA from 1 species